rnacentral:rRNA from 1 species
GACGAACGCUGGCGGCGUGCUUAACACAUGCAAGUCGAGCGGGAACCUCGGGAGGGGUAACCCUUCCGAGGGGAGAGCGGCGAACGGGUGAGUAACACGUGGGCAACCUGCCCCGGACACCGGGAUAACCCAGGGAAACCUGAGCUAAUACCGGAUACUCCGGCACGAUCGCAUGGUCGUUCCGGGAAAGCUCCGACGGUCCGGGAUGGGCCCGCGGCCUAUCAGCUUGUUGGUGAGGUAACGGCCCACCAAGGCGACGACGGGGUAGCUGGUCUGAGAGGACGGCCAGCCACACUGGGACUGAGACACGGCCCAGACUCCUACGGGAGGCAGCAGUGGGGAAUCUUGCGCUAAUGCGCGAAAGCGUGACGCAGCGACGCCGCGUGGGGGAUGAAGGCCUUC